rnacentral:rRNA from 1 species
CCUACGGGAGGCAGCAGUGGGGGAUAUUGCACAAUGGGGGGAACCCUGAUGCAGCGACGCCGCGUGGGUGAAGAAGCGCCUCGGCGCGUAAAGCCCUGUCAGCAGGGAAGAAAAUGACGGUACCUGAAGAAGAAGCCCCGGCUAACUACGUGCCAGCAGCCGCGGGAAUACGUAGGGGGCAAGCGUUAUCCGGAUUUACUGGGUGUAAAGGGGGCGCAGACGGCGAUGCAAGCCAGGAGUGAAAGCCCGGGGCCCAACCCCGGGACUGCUCUUGGAACUGCGUGGCUGGAGUGCAGGUGGGGCAGGCGGAAUGCCUGGUGUAGCGGUGAAAUGCGUAGAGAUCAGGAGGAACACCGGUUGCGAAGGCGGCCUGCUGGACUGCGACUGACGUUGAGGCCCGAAAGCGUGGGGAGCAAACAGGAUUAGAUACCCGAGUAGUC